rnacentral:rRNA from 1 species
ACCAUCAAGGUCAAGACACCCACCGCCAAGGAGAUCGGGAUCAACAUCGAGCCCACGGACACGUCCGACAGGAUCAAGGAGCACGUCGAGGAGAAGGAGGGCAUCCCGCCCGUCCAGCAGAGGCUCAUCUUCGAUGGCAAGCAGAUGGCCGCCGACAAGACGGUGCAAAAGUACAAGGUCAAGGGCGGCUACGUGCUCCACCUCGUGCUCGCCCUCAGGGGCGGUGCCUGCUAG